AAAAGUCGUAACAAGGUAACCGUAGGUGAACCUGCGGUUGGAUCAUUAAAUUGAAAAAGAGAGAGAAGAAAUUCUCUUGAUUUUUAAACAUUUAGAGAUAAUUGAAUGUUUUUUUUGUGGAGAAGAAGAGAGAUUCUUUUUUUUCCACAAAUUUAAAUAAACCAUUUUAAUAUUUAUAUUAUUAUAAAAUAAAAUAAAAACAACUUUUGACAACGGAUCUCUUGGCUCUCG
rnacentral:misc_RNA from 1 species